rnacentral:rRNA from 1 species
UGGGGAAUAUUGGACAAUGGGCGAAAGCCUGAUCCAGCCAUGCCGCGUGUGUGAAGAAGGUCUUCGGAUUGUAAAGCACUUUAAGUUGGGAGGAAGGGCAGUAACCGAAUACCUUGCUGUUUUGACGUUCCCGCCAGAAUAAGCCCCGGCUACCUCUGUGCCAGCAGCCGCGGUAAUACAGAGGGUGCAAGCGUUAAUCGGAAUUACUGGGCGUAAAGCGCGCGUAGGUGGUUCGUUAAGUUGAAUGUGAAAGCCCCGGGCUCAACCUGGGAACUGCAUCCAAAACUGGCGGGCUAGAGUAGGGCAGAGGGUGGUGGAAUUUCCUGUGUAGCGGUGAAAUGCGUAGAUAUAGGAAGGAACACCAGUGGCGAAGGCGACCACCUGGGCUCAUACUGACACUGAGGUGCGAAAGCGUGGGGAGCAAACAGG